rnacentral:rRNA from 3 species
UAAAACGACUCUCGGCAACGGAUAUCUCGGCUCUCGCAUCGAUGAAGAACGUAGCGAAAUGCGAUACUUGGUGUGAAUUGCAGAAUCCCGUGAACCAUCGAGUCUUUGAACGCAAGUUGCGCCCCAAGCCUUCUGGCCGAGGGCACGUCUGCCUGGGUGU